AUUGAACGCUGGCGGCAGGCCUAACACAUGCAAGUCGAACGAGUGGCGGACGGGUGAGUAAUGUCUGGGAAACUGCCCGAUGGAGGGGGAUAACUACUGGAAACGGUAGCUAAUACCGCAUACCAUCGGAUGUGCCCAGAUGGGAGUAGCUAGUAGGUGGGGUAACGGCUCACCUAGGCGACGAUCCCUAGCUGGUUUGAGAGGAUGACCAGCCACGCUGGAGCUGAGACAAGGUCCAGACCCCUCCGGGAAGCAGCAGUGGGGAAUAUUGCACAAUGGGCGCAAGCCUAAUGCAGCCAUGCCGCUUGUAUGAAGAAAGCCUUCGGAUUGUAAAGUCCUUUCAGCAGGGAGGCGUUGCUCUCAGAAGAAGCGACGGCUAACUCCGUGCCAGCAGCCGCAGUAAUAC
rnacentral:rRNA from 1 species